GUCAGAGUCCGGAGAAAUAUCGGGAAGCUGUCGUUGAGUGCUUGGCCAUCGGAACGCUGUUGCUCACAAAGCUACGGCCGGAAAAUUACGAGGGCUCCAUGUCGUUUGAGCAGCUGAUUGAAGACUGGAAGUCAUGCUUGAAGAGAGAAAAGCUGCUUCCAAUGGACGUGAACGUCACCUUGGCCAGCAUCCGGUACAUCCGUACGGUCAUAGUCCAGAGGUGGGGCCGAUGACAGCCUACAAAUUUUUGUAGCCGAAGCCACGGUGUGGAAACAGGUGCAAUCGUUGAAUAAAGCGCCGA